GACGAACGCUGGCGGCGUGCUUAACACAUGCAAGUCGAACGGAAAGGCCCUGCUUUUGUGGGGUGCUCGAGUGGCGAACGGGUGAGUAACACGUGUGUAACCUGCCCUUGACUUUGGGAUAACUUCAGGAAACUGGGGCUAAUACCGGAUAGGAUCUACUGCUGCAUGGUGGGGGUUGGAAAGUUUCGGCGGUUGGGGAUGGACUCGCGGCUUAUCAGCUUGUUGGUGGGGUAGUGGCUUACCAAGGCUUUGACGGGUAGCCGGCCUGAGAGGGUGACCGGCCACAUUGGGACUGAGAUACGGCCCAGACUCCUACGGGAGGCAGCAGUGGGGAAUAUUGCACAAUGGGCGGAAGCCUGAUGCAGCAACGCCGCGUGCGGGAUGACGGCCUUCGGGUUGUAAACCGCUUUCGCCUGUGACGAAGCGUGAGUGACGGUAAUGGGUAAGGAAGCACCGGCUAACUACGUG
rnacentral:rRNA from 1 species